UGCACUAGGUUAAAUGUCAAUCGUAUUGAUCGUAUAACCCUAGAACGAUUCUUAAUCAUUGAUCAACCAUCCGAUCGGAUCGUGAAUUCUAAUAUGUGUGAUCUCAUAGGUUCGAACCUAAGUUGAUAGUAUAAAAAUAAAUUUUUAUACCAAUCGAAGUGACCAUCUAGUAAUAGUACCCGACGAUCGGAUAAGUCGAAUGUGUAAAACAACAUUCUUAGAACCC
rnacentral:lncRNA from 1 species